CACGUAGGGCGCAAGCGUUGUCCGGAAUCAUUGGGCGUAAAGAGCGUGUAGGCGGUCCGGUAAGUCGGCUGUGAAAGUCCAGGGCUCAACCCUGGGAUGCCGGUCGAUACUGCCGGACUAGAGUUCGGAAGAGGCGAGUGGAAUUCCCGGUGUAGCGGUGAAAUGCGCAGAUAUCGGGGAGGAACACCUAUGGCGAAGGCAGCUCGCUGGGACGUUACUGACGCUGGAGACGCGAAAGCGUGGGGAGCAAACAGG
rnacentral:rRNA from 1 species